AAAAAAAAAAAAAAAAAGAAGAAUAGCCAUCUUUUUAUUAUCACACGCACAGGGGAGAAAAGGGAGUCAGAUAACUUUUCAUCUUUUUCUCUUGAUUUCUACCAUCAAAUCUGCAAACAAACAACAAAUUAAGUAUUUGUUAGUCCAGAUUAGUAAAAAAACUAGCAAAUCGAGGGUGCAAUAAGCUAUAGCAGCAGUAGGACAUUUCGCAAACAAGAAGGUGAGAAUUUUUGAAAGUCAAUUAAGGCUAAGAAAAGGUUUGGAUUUCGAAAUUGAUUGGUUUUUCUGCAAUUGGAGGCACCUUCGUGAUACGGAUCAAGGAAGCAAGGCGAAGGAUCCGUUAGCUCUACCUAUUGGGCCAAUCAUAAGAGCUCGUGCAACUAAGCAACAAGCAGCCUUGAAUGCAUUUGUUCAAGAACAAGUCACAUUGGAGCUUCAAGAUCAUAACAUUGCGAGAUGUGGGAUUGAACUUGAAGAAGCACCUAAGUUUGUUGUGGUGCUUGAGGUGUGUAAAGAGGCUACCCAUUGAUGCAUUGUACAUGUUUUAUACUUAGGCAAAUUUUGAAGAAUGCUCUUUCAUUGUAAGCUUAAGUAUGGGGCGUGUAAGGCCUGUGAGCCCACUUAUCCUAUUUUGUUUAGUUUGUUUUUAUAAUGGGCCUGGUUAUUUAAAGUAAGGUUGGUUGAACUUAUUUUCCAAAGUUGGGCCGGCCCUAGAUUAAUUAAUAUUUAAGUUAGGUUGUUUUAAUUAGUUAGCUUGGGCUUUGUAUUUAAAUUAAGCCCAUAUGGGCCAUAUUGGGUUAGGCCUAGGUUAGUUUAAUUAAAGGCUAAUUAG